ACCGCCCCGCAAGCAUCUCCAGUCUCCGGCACGUCAAGCAGGCACCGAACCAUCACUGGCCCUCAUGCGUUCGUGCAGCUCCAGGGCGUCCUGCGACCGUCCUCCUCUGUCUGCUAGUGCUACGCAGUACACACUCUUUUUAAUUGUGCGUUCAUGUUCAGAUCAUCACAGUACAUAAUCGAUUGAUUUUUUAUCUGUCAAACAGUGUUGGCCUGCUACUAACCAGUAACUAGUACUGAACUAUGAACUUUUCAUCUUGUAAAGUGGUAAUGUUUAGUGCCAAUGGGAGGGAAGUUGUUCGCUUCUGUUAACUUAUUAUUCGGUUGUAUAUUAGCUACUACUCCCUCCGUUCCUAAAUACAAGUCUUUUUAGAUAUUUCAAUAUAGACUACAUACGGAUGCAUAUGGACACAUUUUAGAGUGUAGGUUCAUUCAUUUUUCUCCUUAUGUAGUUCAUAUUAGAAUCUCUAAAAAGACUUAUGUGUAGGAACGGAGGGAGUAGUAAUUAUUGUGCACUGCUUGUUUUUUAUGUAGAAAUGCAGAUAAGAGACAAUAAGUAAAAUUCAAUCUCCCCAGGAAUCAAUUUCUCCUUUUAUUAGAGUUGAUUUCAGCGUCUCAAUUGAUUUUUGGGUGACGACGCGUGUAAUUUUGGGGGAGGAGCAGGUGUAUGCAUUAUGAUUUACACAUUCAUGUUGAGAUUAUGGUGGGUUAGGAUGUUCAUUCUGUUUUUAUUGGCAACAGCUUCAAAUGCCUCUUCCCGAAUUUUCUGGACCGCUAUUUUAGGAGUAUAUAACCCCCACCUAUUGGAUGACCAACCCAUGUCACUGCGUACACCACCGUGGCCGCCACUUGACGGCAGGUGGUGGACACCAAUGCAACCACACUGGCGGCUUCCCUUGCCUAGCUACACGUUGCAUCUCUGUUUCAUCUUCGCUAGGUAAAUCGUGCAGGUUUGUGGGGAUGACACAUAUUUGGAGGUACAGCUCCUGCUUGCAUGCGCAAAAAGUUCAUGAUUUGCAUCUCUAAUAUAACAUGGUAAGUCUUUUUCAUUCUUGAUCUCUCCAUUACGCUAUGUUCAAUUUCAUGAAUGGGAGGAAUUCCGGUAUGAAUUCACAUGAUGUUCAAACACAUAAAUGCCUGAUAUGCUGAAUUGCUAACAUACUGAAAAAUGCUACAGCUUGAUGACUAUGUAGUAAAGUUCAUUCAGAACUUAGUUCUGGCGACAUGGGUCUUGGGGAGUAUAUUGGGUUCCAAUACAAUUGAGCAUGAUUUAUUGGCAGUAUACUACAAAACUACAUUAUUCCCAGGUCAAGCAUUACAUUUGGGCAUAACUUUACAUGCAAUGCAAGUCAGCAAAACAGAUGAGACUUUUUUUCUUACUCCAGAACCACUUAAUUUUUCUCUACUAAUUUCCCCUUUGGAUCUUUGUAGGAGAUAAUGGCACAUCGAUUUGAUGUUUUUAGUGGUACUGUUUAUAUUUUAUUUUCCAAGAAAUACUCAAAAGUAUUGGUGGUAUGACAGUUGAGUACAUUUGUUGAUCUUUUAUUAUGAGCACAUGUUUUUCCCUAUCUAAUAUUAGGACUACGCAUCGUUGUGAUCCGUGUGAUAUGGGGCUUAAUGAUUUGAGAGUCGUUGUCCCAAAAUUAUUCUAAAAUGGUUGGUGGGGUUUUAUGUAUCCAUCAGCAGCUUUAGUUUUUGUGAACAUAUUUGUCUAACAGUUGAGUACAUUUACCAGCAAUAUAGAAAUGAAAAUUUCUAAUGACCCAUAUGAUUGCUUUCACUAGCGAGCUCAGGUGUCAGUUCAGAGAGCAACUUCAAUGUUUUCUGAUAUCUGAUUGACCCACAGAGAAUUUUUAUUGAUGUUCUAGUACUGCAUACUAAUGUAUUUUCAAUGCAUAUUUUAUAGCUUAAGGUGUGAAAUAUUCAUUUUGUGCAGCUUGCAAUCAUCAACUAUUUAACUCUGGUGAAAUUUAUGGUGUUGUGGAACGAUUGAAGUUAGUACAAAGUCGAGACACUUAUAUUGAGAUGGAGGGAUUAUAAGUUUACUUACAGUUGAACUGAACCUCUAAUGUAGAAAGCAGAUGGUGGUCAAGAAUCGGAAAAUGCUCAUGCUUGAAAUAGCAAUGUGACCAAGCAAGGUGGUACUGAAUCAAGUGUAUAACUUCCUGUGUCACUAAGCACAUCAAGAAAAUACAUUUGUAGGCAGUAUGUUUGGCGAAGUAUCUUGGUUUUUUAGGUAAAAAAGCCAAAGCUGACCACUCCAACACAACCUAAGACAUUGGUGCUCCAAGACAACCUCAAGACAUUUCUAUGGCUAGCUGAGAGUUUAGAAUUGGAACACAUUGGAGGAGCAAGCAGCAACUACGCAAGAAUUAGUCUUUAAAUGAACACAUAUUAUGUAUAAUGUAUGGAAAGCUUAGUUCUACUUUGUAGUAUAUAUAUUCCCUUAAUUAUUUACAUCUUUCAUAUGAAUGUCUGAAUUGAUUCAGUUGUGAACUCCAUACAUAAACAUAUGUAUUUGUUCAUAGAUUUGUUACAAAUG